rnacentral:rRNA from 1 species
ACGGAAGGCAGCAGUGGGGAAUAUUGCACAAUGGGCGCAAGCCUGAUGCAGCGAUGCCGCGUGAGGGAAGAAGGUUUUCGGAUUGUAAACCUCUGUCAACAGGGACGAAGAAGACGGUACCUGUGAAGGAAGCUCCGGCUAACUACGUGCCAGCAGCCGCGGUAAUACGUAGGGAGCAAGCGUUAUCCGGAAUUACUGGGUGUAAAGGGAGUGUAGGCGGGACUGUAAGUCAGAUGUGAAAUAUGCCGGCUCAAACGGAAGACUGCAUUUGAAACUGCGGUUCUUGAGUGAAGUAGAGGUAAGCGGAAUUCCUAGUGUAGCGGUGAAAUGCGUAGAUAUUAGGAGGAACAUCAGUGGCGAAGGCGGCAUACUGGGCUUUAACUGACGCUGAGGCUCGAAAGCGUGGGGAGCAAACAGGAUUAGAUACCCUGGUA